rnacentral:lncRNA from 1 species
UACUUCUUGAUACUGUGGAGGAUCCUAGGAAUUUUACCACCAUCAAAGACUUACAUUAACCAGCUAUCCAUGAACUCACCUGAGAUGAGCGAAUGUGACAUCUUGCACACUCUGCGAUGGUCUUCUCCAUGGUAUAAUGCUUUCUUCUCUAGUAUGAAGGGGUGCUUGAUGAGGAAAUUUUCAAAUAGUGCGGGAGGAGUCAGGAGGAAGUUUAAUGUCUAUAAUUCUUUAAAUAUUUUGUACGAUUUUACUUGUAGGAUACAGAGAAAGGUAAUUUUUCAAAACACUGUCAUUUCUGUUAUUAACUGAGUUAAAGCUCCUUAAAUGCUCUUUAUUUAUUAUUAUUAAAAAAAAUUUUUUCUGAGAUGGCAUCUCGCUCUGUCGCCCAGGCUGGAGUGCAAUGGUGCGAUCUUGGCUCACUGCAACCUCCACCUCCCGGGUUCAAGUGAUUCUCCUGCCUCAGCCUCCUGAGUAGUGGGAUUACAGGCAUGCACCACCGUGC